rnacentral:rRNA from 1 species
AAAUAUACGAUGGGGUAUUGUAAGUGGAAAGGUGGACUUACUACCAUGAUCAACUGAGAAUCGGACGGGAAUAUCCCUGCUUUUAGAAUUGAGCAGAUCCAUCAUCUGAAUUAUAGUCUUGAGAAGUAUCAUCAGCGGCGAACCGAGCCCAAGUCCACUAGAAGAGGGUGCCAGAGAGGGUGAAAGCCCCGUUGUGCCUGGACCCUAUCGCACUAUGAGGUCUUAUUUAUAAGUAAUGUUAUUUUGGAAAGAUGAUCGUGAAUAUGGGAGAGAGACUAAUAGUGAGUAAGUACCACGAGGGAAAGAUGAAAAGGACUUUUAAAAGAGAGACAAAGAGUGCUUGAAAUUGUCAAAAGGGAAGCGGACAGGGGCUGGCGAGGUGUCCCGAUCGAAUGUGGAACGAUGAUGAGCCAGUCUGCUGAUCGAAUUGGGGGAUGGACUAAUGUGGAUUGGUGAAGGGGGCCAAAGCCCGGGCUCUUGAUACGCUCAUGGAACUCCAUCUCCUCGAUUGUGGCAGGCAGCGCAUGCCUCUGGCGUGAUUGGCAUUUGUGUGCUCCGGAGGCUGGCCUGUGUUCUUCCCAUUCGACUUACUUGAAACACAAACUAAGGAUUUUGACAUGUGUGUGAGUUAACGUACAAGUAAACCCGUAAGGCGUAAGAAAGUUGAUUGGUGGGAUCCUCCUGAGGGGUGCACCACUGAUUGACCUUGGUCUUCAGAGAAGGGUUUAAGUGUGAGCAUACCUGUCGAGACCCAAAAGAUAAAGAAUUAUGCUUGAGCGGGGCAAAGCCAUAGGAAACUUAGGUGGAGACUUGCAACAAUACUGAUGUGCAAUUUAUUUGUCUGACUUAGGUAUAGGGGCAAAAGACUAAUUGAACCAUCUAGUAGCUGGUUUCCUCCGAAGUUUUCCUCAGGAUAUCUGGAGCUCGCGUGUGAUUUCUAUCGGGUAAAGCCAAUGAUUAGAGGCCUCGGGGGCGUAACACCCUCGACCUAUUCUCAAACUUAAAUAAGUAGGAUGGCACGGCUAUUUUGUUGUGCCGCACCACAUAGUCAAGAGCUCCAAGUGGGCCAUUUUAAGUAAGCAGAGCCGGUGAUACGGGAUGAACUGGAAGUCUACUUACGGUGCCAAACUGCGUGCUAACCUAGAUCCCAUAAAGGGUGUUGGUCAAUUAUGACAGCAGGACGGUGGUCAUGGAAGUCAAAAUCUGCUAAGUAGUAUGUAACAACUCACAUGCUGAACUAACUAGCCCAGAAAAUGAAUGGCACUUAAGUACGCGACCUACACCCGAUUGUCGGGGCAAGUCCUAGGCCCCGAUGAGUAGGAGGGUGCAUCGGUCGCUGUAAAACCUAGGCACGAGCUCGAGCAGAGCUGCCAUCGGUGCAGAUCUUGGUGGUAGUAGAAAAUAUUCAAAUGAGAACUUUGAAGGAUGAAGAUGGGAAAGGUUCCAUGUGAACGGCACUUGCAAAUGGGUUAGUCGAUCCUAAGGGUCGGGGAAACCCUAACAGAUAGCAUAUUUUGUGUGUACUCUGAAAGGGAAUUGGGUUAAAAUUCCUGAACCGUGGCGUGGCGGUUCACAGCAACAUUAGAAAAUCCAGAGACGUCAGCGAAAACCUCGGGAAGAGUUAUCUUUUCUGUUUAACAGCUUUUCCACCCUGGAAUUGGCUCAGCCGGAGGUAGGGUCUAGCGGCUGGAAAAGCACCGCACAUCGCAUGGUGUCUGGUGCACUCCCAGUGGCCCUUGAAAAUCUAGAGAACUGAAUGUCAUCCACGCCCAAUCGUACUCAUAACUGCAUCAGGUCUCCAAGGUGAACAACCUCUGGCCAUGGAAUAAUAUAGGGAAGGAAAGUCGGCAAAAUAGAUCCGUAACUUCGGCAAAAGGAUUAGCUCUGAGGGCUGGGCACCAAGGCACCACGCAACCUGGAACCAAGCAACACGUACCAUGGUACCAAGGCACCAUGACACCAAGGCACCGUGCACCAUGGUAGCCAUGCAUCCUAAGUUAGGGACUAUGUAGUUGGUACUCGCACACUCGUGUACCUGCCGCGAGCGCAUUAAGGCACCAUGACACCAUGGGCAAGGUGAAGGCAUCGUGCAAAAGUCAAAAGAGCAUAAACCUAGGUUCGAUCAUCUGAAUAUAAUCAUAACGUUCAUCUAUCAUCAUCCUCACCGUUGGGUACUCCUUUCCUUAAAUACAUGCUCUAAGUAUUUUUCAACGAUAUUUCAAUAUUAGCUCAUAUGUUGGGGCAGUUUUUGUAAUGUCCCAAAGUUUUUUCUUAAUUUUUUAUUUAAUCCUUAAAUAUUUAAAUUUAAAUAUAGAAUAUGCACUCAAUUAUUAGUUUAAGGUCAUUCUAAUAUGUAUGUUUUGGGAUUGUUACUUAUCUAUUUCAUUCUAGGUUGUUUUCCUAAUGUCACCCAAGUUAUUUUUAUAUUUUUUCAAUUUUUUUAAUAUCCUUAAAUUUUGAUAUUUUAUAUCGUUAGGUUAUACGUAUACAUAUGCACUUAAUUAUAGGUUUAAGGUUACUUCAUUCUAAUAUGCAAGUUUUGGGGUUGUUACUUAUCUGUUGCAUUCUAAGGGAUUUUACUAAUGCCCCCACAUUAUUUUUAUGUUUUUUAUAAAUUUUUUAUUUAAUAUCCUUAAAUUUUGAUAUUUUAUAUCAUUACGUUAUAAGUACAAAUAUGCACUCAAUUUUUGGUUUAAGGUUACUUCAUGCGUUGGGAAUAUUUUUCUAAUAUUUUUAUAUUUUAAAAAUAUUAUUCAUAUUUUUUUAUUGUUUUUAUUUAUUUUUUGAAUUUUCAUAAAUAAUAUUUUUUAAAAAAUAUUUUCUUUAUUAAAAUUAUCAUUCAUAAAUUAUGUGACUCUUCUGUGAGUGCAUUGGCU